GUAACGGCGAGUGAAGCAGCAAUAGCUCAAAUUUGAAAUCUGGCGUCUUCGGCGUCCGAGUUGUAAUUUGUAGAGGAUGCUUCUGAGUAGCCACCGACCUAAGUUCCUUGGAACAGGACGUCAUAGAGGGUGAGAAUCCCGUAUGGGAUGGGGUGUCCGCGCCCGUGUGAAGCUCCUUCGACGAGUCGAGUUGUUUGGGAAUGCAGCUCAAAAUGGGAGGUAAAUUUCUUCUAAAGCUAAAUACUGGCCAGAGACCGAUAGCGCACAAGUAGAGUGAUCGAAAGAUGAAAAGCACUUUGGAAAGAGAGUUAAAAGUACGUGAAAUUGUCGAAAGGGAAGCACUUGAAGUCAGCCAUGCUGC
rnacentral:rRNA from 14 species